rnacentral:rRNA from 1 species
UGGGGAAUAUUGCACAAUGGGCGAAAGCCUGAUGCAGCAACGCCGCGUGAGUGAUGAAGGCCUUCGGGUUGUAAAGCUCUGUCUUUUGGGACGAUAAUGACGGUACCAAAGGAGGAAGCCACGGCUAACUACGUGCCAGCAGCCGCGGUAAUACGCAGGUGGCAAGCGUUGUCCGGAUUUACUGGGCGUAAAGGAUGCGUAGGCGGAUUUUUAAGUGAGAUGUGAAAACCCUAAGCUUAACUCGGGGACUGCAUUUCAUACUGGAAAUCUAGAGUGCGGGAGAGGAGAAUGGAAUUCCUAGUGUAGCGGUGAAAUGCGUAGAGAUUAGGAAGAACACCAGUGGCGAAGGCGAUUCUCUGGACCGUAACUGACGCUGAGGCAUGAAAGCGUGGGUAGCAAACGGGAUUAGAUACCCUGGUAGUCCACGCCGUAAACGAUGAGUACUAGGUGUAGGAGGUAUCGACCCCUUCUGUGCCGCAGUUAACACAAUAAGUACUCCGCCUGGGAAGUACGAUCGCAAGAUUAAAACUCAAAGGAAUUGACGGGGUCAUAGCUGUUUUCCU